rfam:Salmo salar isolate Sally breed double haploid chromosome ssa19, whole genome shotgun sequence.
CACAGUAUCUACUGUGAGUCGCUCUGGAUAAGAGCAUCUGCUAAAUGACAAAAA